GAAACUCUCGAACAGCAUCUCGUGGCUGACGUCCGGGGAACUCUUGAACGGAACGCGCACUACUCUCACGCGCGUCUUCUGAUGUGCAGUGACUUCCCAGGAUGCAGCAGCUGUACCAGCUCCCCAUAACUGGUCUGACGCCUCAGCCCCGUUCUACCAACACUCGAUGGGUCAUGGAGGAGACAUAUUUACGAGCACUCCGGCUCACUACCUGGAAGAGUGGCUGACUCACGCUGCUUUUUCCCCCCCAUCUCAAUAAAAUCAGGAUGUUUCCUGGGUUUUCCAGAACUUAAAGCCCCGGCGCACAUGGGAAAUGUUACGGCUAAACUGUAGCGAUGCGAAGUCAUUUGAACAAGUUUGUGUAGACAGGUUUUGCGUGUAUACAACAGGAGGGAUUAGGACAUCAGUUCUAAAUUGUUCUGAGAGGAGACAAACAUCCAUCAGAAAGGAGCGGACGUAAAUAUGCUCCCAGAUUAGUGUUGUAUGGCAAGAAGACAACGGUUCACAAUUACAUUUUCAUUAAAUCUGCAAUGAAUAAAUAGGGUUUCCCCUCACAGACAUCA